rnacentral:pre_miRNA from 1 species
GAUUGGUGACUAGUACUCCUUCUGAGUCCAACUUUAAUUGUCCGUCUUGUUUGAUUUUUUUUAUGAUUAGCAUUUAUGUUAUUAGAUGAUAAUUGAUAAAACAUGAAUAAUAUUUUAUACAUGUCUUAUAUUUUUCUAUUUUUUUAAAAAAAAUAAAUAAUACGGAUGAUCAAAGAUAGGCAUAGAAAUUUAUAACCCCGCUUACA